rnacentral:rRNA from 1 species
AUUGAACGCUGGCAGCAUGCUUUACACAUGCAAGUCGAACGGCAGCGCGGGCUUCGGCCUGGCGGCGAGUGGCGAACGGGUGAGUAAUGCAUCGGAACGUGCCCAGUAGUGGGGGAUAGCCCGGCGAAAGCCGGAUUAAUACCGCAUACGACCUGAGGGUGAAAGCGGGGGACCGAAAGGCCUCGCGCUAUUGGAGCGGCCGAUGUCGGAUUAGCUAGUUGGUGGGGUAAAGGCUUACCAAGGCGACGAUCCGUAGCUGGUCUGAGAGGACGACCAGCCACACUGGGACUGAGACACGGCCCAGACUCCUACGGGAGGCAGCAGUGGGGAAUUUUGGACAAUGGGGGCAACCCUGAUCCAGCCAUGCCGCGUGCGGGAAGAAGGCCUUCGGGUUGUAAACCGCUUUUGUUCGGGAAGAAAUCCUCUGGGCUAAUACCCCGGAGGGAUGACGGUACCGGAAGAAUAAGCACCGGCUAACUACGUG